rnacentral:rRNA from 1 species
GAUGAACGCUGGCGGCGUGCCUAAUACAUGCAAGUCGAGCGAACGGACGAGAAGCUUGCUUUUCUGAUGUUAGCGGCGGACGGGUGAGUAACACGUGGAUAACCUACCUAUAAGACUGGGAUAACUUCGGGAAACCGGAGCUAAUACCGGAUAAUAUUUUGAACCGCAUGGUUCAAAAGUGAAAGACGGUCUUGCUGUCACUUAUAGAUGGAUCCGCGCUGCAUUAGCUAGUUGGUAAGGUAACGGCUUACCAAGGCAACGAUGCAUAGCCGACCUGAGAGGGUGAUCGGCCACACUGGAACUGAGACACGGUCCAGACUCCUACGGGAGGCAGCAGUAGGGAAUCUUCCGCAAUGGGCGAAAGCCUGACGGAGCAACGCCGCGUGAGUGAUGUAGGUCUUCGGAUCGUAAAACUCUGUUAUUAGGGAAGAACAUAUGUGUAAGUAACUGUGCACAUCUUGACGGUACCUAAUCAGAAAGCCACGGCUAACUACGUG